rnacentral:rRNA from 1 species
CAGCCGCCGCGGUAAUACGAAGGGUGCAAGCGUUAAUCGGAAUUACUGGGCGUAAAGCGUGCGUAGGCGGUUUGUUAAGUCUGUUGUGAAAUCCCCGGGCUCAACCUGGGAAUGGCAAUGGAUACUGGCAAGCUAGAGUGUGUCAGAGGAUGGUGGAAUUCCCGGUGUAGCGGUGAAAUGCGUAGAGAUCGGGAGGAACGUCAGUGGCGAAGGCGGCCAUCUGGGACAACACUGACGCUGAGGCACGAAAGCGUGGGGAGCAAACAGGAUUAGAUACCCCGGUAGUCCCUGUCUCUUAUAC